rnacentral:tRNA from 2 species
CUGUAGCUCAGCUGGAUAGAGCAACGGCCUUCUAAGCCGUGGGUCGGGGGUUCGAAUCCCUUCAGGC